UUAAGUUCAGCGGGUAGUCCUACCUGAUUUGAGGUCAGAUGACAUGAAAGUUUGUCCGAGGACGAUUGGAAGCGAGGUCGUCUUUUAAACAGAGGCUCUCGAGAUGAGACGGCGCCACAAGUGUUUCUUAUCACACCGUCCGUUGAUCAGGGGAGACCGACCGUACGACAGACCACAGCUGAUGCAUUUCGAGACGAGUC
rnacentral:misc_RNA from 1 species